GGGGGGUUGCUGGGCGGCUGCUUGAUGGUGCCUCCGAUCUGCGGCCGCUCCCGGGGCUUGGGCUCGAUGGGCGUCCACUGCUCGCCACGCACAGCCGCCAGUAGGUAGAUGCCGCUCGCAAUGGCCAGGCAGGCGGUCCCAAGGAUGGUGGCCAGCAGGAAGCCGGCGGGCACCGAGAGCAGGAGAUGCAGGACGGCCCGAACAUAGUAAUUCCUGGUAAAGGGCCCGAACAGCUUCACCACGGCGGUCAUGUGCUUCUGUCCCCAGCGCUCCAUGGUGGAGCCCUUCGUCCUCUUCCCCCGGGGGUACUCCAGCAGGCACACAAACACGCCCGCCACAAUGGAGUAGGCACCAAAGUACCACUGGGUGAAGCGCCCAGCUGUGGCCACGAUGCCCCCGGUGAUGAGGAUCAGGCCGGACGCCAGCGCCUGCUCGUUGGCCCACAUGGCCCACUCGAUCUGCCCCAUGGCGAC
rnacentral:misc_RNA from 1 species